rnacentral:rRNA from 1 species
GACGAACGCUGGCGGCGUGCUUAACACAUGCAAGUCGAAGAUAGUGGCGAACGGGUGAGUAAUACGUGGGUAACCUGCCCUCCUUUUUGGGAUAAGCCUUGGAAACGGGGUCUAAUACCGAAUAAAGGGGGAUGGGCUCGCGGCCUAUCAGCUGUUUGGUGGGGUGAUGGCCUACCAAGGCGGUGACGGGUAGCCGGCCUGAGAGGGUGACCGGCCACAUUGGGACUGGGAUACGGCCCAGACUCGUAAGGGAUGAAGCAGUGGGGGAUAUGGCACAAUGGGCGACAGCCUGAUGCAGCGACGCCGUGUGGGGGAUGAAGGCUUUCGGGUUGUAAUCCUCUUUCGCUAUCGAAAGGGUAUGUGGAGAAGAAGCGCCGGCUAACUACGUGCCAGCAGCCGCGGUAAUAC